AAGUCGUAACAAGGUUUCCGUAGGUGAACCUGCGGAAGGAUCAUUGCCGAUCGGACGCGCGUGUCCCUUGUCGUAACAGACGUGGGGAUGCGUUGCGUCUUUUUCGACCCAACCCAUGUGAACUCGUUUUUUGUGUUUAACAUCUUUUCUUCUGAAAAGAUGUCCAAACAUUUUACAAUAAACCACAAUUCUUUACCUCUUGACUGAGACAAUAUAGGUCACGCCUAAAAAACGUUGAUCUCAAAAACCUAACCAUUACAACUUUUAACAACGGAUAUCUUGGCUCGC
rnacentral:misc_RNA from 1 species